GAAGUUCAUCAACUGCCAAUAAAUAAAUAGGAAUCAGAGAUUUUCAGCCUCUAUUUUGGCUGGUAGAGGGAAAAACACGCUGUGUAGUUGAGCACAUGUUUAAUCUGCAGAGGAAGUGAAUUACACCUGUGGCCAAGAAGCAACAUGACUGCUCACUGCUGCAACCAGAGCGACUUCCCUUUGUUUGACUGUCCACACAGGACAUCAUGGAGAAGCACAGAGCUGCACAAAUCUCUGCCUGGCCCCAGCACGCUCAGCACCAGAGGCCAACAUGGUGCUGCGUGUGGGUGCCCAGCCACAGCACAUCUGUGGGGUGCUGCUUGCCGGCAUGUUCCCUCAGUUAAGUUACUUCAGAUUCCUAAGUGAUUCAUCCUCUUUGGACAAACGUCCUUCACUUCCCACGGUUAAGACAUGAAACACAGGUCAGACACUUUGACAAAAUCAGCUCCCCAACUGUGUGGCUGUCCAGCUCAGAGCAGCAGUGGGGAAGGCAGCAAAAACAUCCCUAAACGACAGGAAAAAUCCCCUAUGCCAUGGAGAGAGGACCACGCUACCAAGCGCCAUGCUGAAAAGAUAUCAACUUUUGAAGUACAGUCCAGCUGAAUAAAUACCAGUGAAAGUCAAUAGACAAAUCCUGUUAGGAGCUGCAGUGCUCUGGGAACCUGAUUGGAAUUUGAACAUUUGCAUUGAUUUUUUUUUUCCACAUUACCAGCUGGGAGUAAGCAGUAGAGAGGAGGUGCGCUGAUCGCUCCAUGGGAACACGACUCGCUAGCAAAGGAUUACCUUUUAAAGGAUUAUCGUUUAAACAAAGACAAAAAAAAAAAAAUCAGUAUACUGCAAGCAACUAGCUCAAAUCAAAAGAAACACAUUAAUCCAACAGGAUUAUCAGAGCUCUUUCCUUUACCCUUGCAUAUGUAAGCUCUGAUCAUCAAGUCCUUUUAACUCCAGCCAGGAAGAAAGAUUAGUAGCUGCCUGCACUGCUCCUACAUUGUGAAAUUUCCAGAACUGAGCUCUUUUACUUCCCUCUGGGAGGCAGGCUGCAUUUCAUCCAGCAGUGCUCCCAAAUGACAAGUCUUGCAAAACACCUGGAACGAGGCACGAAUUGUAGAGGCAGAGAUGAAUAGAAUUCUCAAAUCAUGCAAGAUUCAGCAGAGUAGGGGAGGAGAAUCAUUACCAUCACUGAGACAGAGAACAAGAAAGAAAAGUAAGUUUAAAGGUACCACAACGAAAUGCAUGGUAAGGACUUCCUGCACCUCCUUUCGUUUCUAACAUUAUCCUUUCAAGCUGACCUGACCAACAUUUCUGAAACCACCUCAUUACAAACUACAAUAGAUUGCUGGGCAUCAAUUUUGAAAAUCAAUCACGAUACAUAUCUCAAAAUGUGAUUUUAAUAUACACAGUUCCCUGCCAGACUGCAAUAUAACACAUGUUGAUAAACCCCAUUCAAAAAUCCCCCUUAGCGCUGGCAUGCAAGAGGCAGCAUCAGCUAACACAGAGUUCAAUUAAAAUAAAACAGCAACAUUUGUUGAUCAAUUUCUAGGGUGCAUAUUGAAGAGCAGCUUCAGGAUGAAACGUUGAGCAUCUCCCCUUGAAAGAGUGUUGGACUCUACAUUUUGAGAGACUGAUUUCACCCUCUGUAUGGCAAACAAAAGCAAGUCCAGGAGUGGCCUCCAGCCCUUAGAUCUAGAUUGCUUAUUAUUACAGAUACUAAAAGUAUUAGCAGCAAGGAUUGUUUCUAAAAAAGUUCAGGCUCCUCUCUUAAGAAAAAAUCUACUCAAAAAAAUCCACAUAAGAGAAAACACUGUCCCUAUUCAUUCAGUAUAGGGAUUUAGCCCUUAAUGAGGUGUUUAUGACCCCGGACUCAACUAGGAGUUCAGUUUUUCUAAUGACUCAGCACCUCAGUGGUUUUGGCUUUAAUUCUUUUAAAUAUACAAGAACAGCACCAGGACAGGGAUGCUAAAUGAGCUCCAUGAGCGCUGGUCAGUUGUAUGCAGAACACUCCACUCUUGCUCCAAAAACCAAUGUUUUUUUUCCAAAAAACUUCUGCAGCCAGGGAGAAAAAGAGAAAAGAAAAAAAAGGAGAAUUUUAAGUAAGCUUAGUUUCUCACUAUGAAAUAUUCAUAUUGGAAUAUCCAGUUACUAAAAUGUGCAAAUUUAAAUAAUGAGUAAUCCAGCGUAAUUUACAAAUAAGAACUGGACAGGAAUGUUUUAAAUCUCAGCUUUCUGAAUGAGCAAAGCCAUCGAGCUUUCCAACACUUUAUCAACUGAACAAGCGGAGCAGAAACUCUGGCCCAAGUCUUCACAUUUCCUCAGUGCUCUCUUUACAGCCCUUGCCAAGAAGAAGGAUUAUUUGAAAUUUUGUGGAAAGCAAAUGAAUGCUGAAGAAGUUCACCCCAAAUGAAACUGAAAAUCUUCCUGCGCUCUGAGCCAAAAAGAUACGAGAAGUGAAAAAGGACAGGUUGCUUAAACCGACAUCUGCAGUCACAAAAAUGCCUUUUUUUCCUGCUGUCAAUUCUGCUGAAGUUAGAAAAUAGAAAUGAUGCGAAUACCAAUUUUUGUGGUGUCUCUGGAGAUAACAUGCUUUUAGCUUUGUUAACAACGCAGCUGACUAACUCUGGUUACUUUCUGUUGGCAUAUACUCAUCUGACAACGUUUUUAAAACGUAAAUUCUUCUGGGAGCGCGUCUUUGUCGAGUAUUAAUGGCACUAGUAACUUAAAUUGACAUCUAUGUCAUGCAGCCAUGCAUCUGUCAGUAUAAUAAAAAUAUACUUUUAAAAGAUUACUUGAUAUUGUCUGACUUUGGCAGCAGAUGUUUGAGCUUGCUUUGAUGUAAAAAAGAUUAAAUAUUUUUGUCAAUACUUUCUAAUUGGGAAAUUUAUUCAAGAAGACAUCUUUAUAACUGGCAGUGCUGCAAGAUGCAAGGCACUCUAUUGCCUCAGACACCAUUUUUAUUCAUCAAUAAAACAUCAUAACAGGCAGCUGGUGAGCAGAGUGCAAGUAAUUUAUGGAACAGGAAGCUACAUUUCUUCUACAUGCUUUCUGAGACAUCCUUACCUGCCACUGCAUUUUGUUUGAUCUUUUCUCCAGAAAGCAGAGAGAACAAAGAAAAGUGAGCUAACAACUGCGUGCUGUACAUUCAACCAUUUUUAGACAAGACGUGUUUUGGUACCUUAAGGCAAAAAGCUUCAGGCUCAAAGUUCACAGAGUCAUUUUGAAGUAUGGAUAGUAAAUAAAAUGAAGCAACAUUCUGUAUAAUGCAGUCUGAUCACUGUUAUAAUUAACUUUACUCUGAAUGCUUUCUGGUGUGCGAUGCCAGCACGAUCAGGAGAGGUAAAAUAACAUUAUAGUAAAGGACUCGGCCAGAUUUGCAAACUUAUGUAAGUGCCUAAUGAUGCAAAGCAGAGACUAUUGGAAAUUAGAAAAGCCAACCAGCCUAUGAAAUACCAUUGACUUCACAUAUUCAGGCACAGCAGAAAAUACCCCUAUUAGCACCUCCAGACACUACAAGCAUUUUGCAAACACAGGCUUCAGAUACUCAACAUGGAGGGUGUACAGUAUGCACAACUGCACACCACAAACAGAUCUGUGACAACACGAAGCAAUAAUUUACUUAGCUGCUUUCUACCACGCAGAAAAUUUCUACAAAUGGGUCGCUUCCCUCUGUUCCUGGAAAGGGCCUUCACCUCUCUGGACUAGUACUGAACAGCCAAGCUGGGCCGAAUGCACCAGCUCAUGAGCAAGCUGGAUGCUGACAAGACAGCCCCACAGGAUGGCAGGGAUGGAGAGCUGGCUGCUCCACAGCCCUCAGCCUCUACACCCCAGCACCUCGGAGCCAAGAGCAGAGCGAACCCUGCGCCAGCCAAAGGCUCAGCCCUGACCCACACUGCUCCUGGAAGCUAAACCACUGCUGUGUGCAGCUUAGAAGUUUGGGGGUUUGUUUGUUUUCAAACAAUCAUCCAAAGCAGGUCAUGUUCUCAAAACAUACCCAAGGACUUCAGCUUCCAGGUAGUAAUUCUCGUAUGCUCACUCAGAAACCUCUGUAAAUAAAAGCGAAGGUUUCCCCAUACAGGUUUACCACUGGCAAAAGGUACCAACUUCAAGCUCUCUUUCUAAGAAGACAGGAAUUCCCAAAGCAAGACCCAGUAAGUCUAAACAACUCAGAUGUGGAGCACGAGAGACAACAGCAAGGGACCGAAAUUUCCAUGUAUUACUUUUUUUUCCCCGGAUAUUGAACAAAUUUGUCCAAAUUUAAAGAUUAAUAAAAUCUAAUGGAAGGUUUUAC